AUGCUGACAACCCGCUCUAGCUUCAACAAGACGACAAUGUACGACCACAUCGGUUGUCUAAGCGACAUAAACCGCGUGGCUAGAUACCACAACUCCAUGCUCCGCACGGCGAUUGGCGCUCUCAGGGGCAAGUGCUCGCAUGCCAGGAUCAUCUACGCCGAUUUCUACGGCCCGAUCAUCACGAUCCUCGACAACCCCAGCCGAUUCGGAGUAGCUGGCACUGACGCUCUACGGGCUUGCUGCGGAGGUGGCGGGGCGUACAACUGGAAUGCCAGCGCUUUCUGCGGCAUGCUGGGGGUGACUGCCUGCAAGGAUCCCUCGGUGUUCGUUAACUGA
rnacentral:rRNA from 1 species